rnacentral:pre_miRNA from 12 species
GUUUACUUCUAUCAACACUAUCCUGAUGCUGUCAGAGUAAGUGGUAAAGCUCCAGCAUCAGUGAUUUUGUUGUUAGUGGUA